rnacentral:rRNA from 1 species
UCCCUAUGGGGUGCAGCAGGCGAGAAAACUUUGCAAUGUGCGAAAGCACGACAAGGUUAAUCCGAGUGGUUUCUGCUAAAGGAACCUUUUGUCGGUCCUAGAAACACCGAUGAAUAAGGAGAGGGCAAGACUGGUGUCAGCCGCCGCGGUAAUACCAGCUCUCCGAGUAAUGUGGACGUUUAUUGGGCCUAAAGCAUCCGUAGCUUGCUAGAUAAGUCCCCUGUUAAAUCCACCGAUUCAAUCGUUGGAUUGCGGGGGAUACUGUUUGGCUAGGGGACGGGAGAGGUCGACGGUAUUUCCGGGGUAGGGGUGAAAUCCUAUAAUCCCGGGAAGACCACCAGUGGCGAAGGCUGUCGGCUAGAACGCGCCCGACGGUGAGGGAUGAAAGCUGGGGGAGCAAACCGGAUUAGAUACCCGGGUAGUCCCAGCUGUAAACUAUGCGAACUCAGUGAUGCAUUGGCUUGUGGCCAAUGCAGUGCUGCAGGGAAGCCGUUAAGUUUGCCGCCUGGGAAGUACGUACGCAAGUAUGAAACUUAAAGGAAUUGGCGGGGGAGCACCACAAGGGGUGAAGCCUGCGGUUCAAUUGGAUUCAACGCCGGAA